ACCCUGCUGGAGAGCCACAUGGAAAGGGAGGGAGGCCAGCCAACUCCUCAAGACAUCUAGAAACUCCAGCUGAGCACUAGAAUUGUGAAUGAAGUCAUCUUGGACAUCCCAACCCCAGCUGAACUGCCAGCUGAAUGCAACCACAUCCGACACUAUGUACAGUAGAAAAACUGUCCAGCUGAGCGCAGUUGGUCUAGAUCUUGGAGUGGUUUCUCAUGAGCAAUUGAUCAUUGAAACACACAUCCGUUAACUCUCUCAUGACACAACCAUCCUGAAGAAUAGCUAAACAGAUAUUAUUUCCAAGGGGAAGAAAGCUUGAGCGACUAGGAGAACUUACCUGGAAUCUCAUCACUAGUAAGUCAUAGAUUCCAAACUUGCAACAAGUUCUCCUCGAUCUUGAAUCCUGGGUGUUUUCUACCCUUUCUGGAUGUUUGAAGAGGGAUGAAUAAUAAGGGGAAAAGCUCCACAAGUGGCUUAUUAUUCUUCAGUAUUUCCAUUUUCCCUCUCCUCAUACUUUUUGUUUUCCCCCAAGGGUUUUCACAUUCCCGUCUCUUUCGGUAACAUACACCAGAAUCCUGGAGCUUGGUGGCCUGAGGUCAGAUCCCAUCCCUACCUCUCACUAGCUCCAUCACAUGGUAACUGGAGUUCAGUUGACUGAAGCUGGGAUCAGCUGGAUUUAACUCCAAGCUACAGGUUGGGUCCACAUCUGCACCACAUGUCAUUCAUCUUUCUUGGGCCAUGUUCUUUUCAGGGCAAAAGGCUGGAGGGGAAGCCAGCCCCACAAGCACAUUGUAAGCCUUUGCUUACAACAUGUCUUCUAAUAUCCCAUUGGCUAAAGCAAGUCUCAUGCCAAGCUCAACAUUAGUGGUGUAGAGAAGUGUACUCCUCCUAUGGAUUACUGAACAGCAAUUCAACGUACCACAAUCAUGAGUGCAGAUUCCUAUCACAGAGCCCUGUGCUCUGCUUCAGAUACCCAAAGACACAUCCCAAACAAGAAAACAAGAGAAAAAUUGAAUUACCAACUAGGUCUCCCUCCUGUCCCCUGAGAGCUUCCCAUGCAGGGAACCAAAUACCUCGCAGCAGCCCCAUCUCCAGACCCCAGGAUUCCUGCAAUGGUGGAUACCAUCUUAGCAACCACAGUAGCUGCUUGGCCAUGGGAAAUGCUCCCAAUGCUGUAGAGAUCCACCAGCUCGUGUAGCAAUGUGGCUUGGCCAGACAGUCAGGGUCCCAGAGCAUGAAAAAUCAUUCCUGUCAUCCUGGCAGACCCAGCUUCUUGGAAACCCAUCCAGAGUCCCAGUGCCAGUGUGGUAGGCAGAAUAUUGCCCCCCUCUCCCCCCCACUCCACCCCCCCCACACACACAAAGGUCCAUAUCCUAAUCCCCAGAACUUGUGAAGAUGUUACCUUAUAUGGCAAAAGGGACUUCACAGAUGUGAUAAGGAUCUUGAGAUGGAGAUUAGUCUGGAUUAUUCAAGUGGGUCCAGUGUAAUUACAGGGGCCCUUAUAAGAGAGAGGGAGGCCGGAGACUCAGGCAGAGAUAUGAUGACUGAAGUAGUUUGGAGUGAAGAGCGGGAAGGAACUGUGCAGCCUCUAAAAGCUGGAAAAGGCAAGGACACGGAUUCUCCCCCAGUGCCCGCAGAAGGCAGGUGGCCCUGCCCACCCGUUUCACACUUCUGGUCUCUGGACUGUAAGAUAAUAAAUCUGUGUUGUUUCAA